CUAUUUUAACCUCUUAUCACGAUUUUAUGAAUUUACAGGUUGUUUCAACUGGACCGAAUCCCGAAUGGGAUGAAAGCUUUUUGUGGUCCUUUGAGAGUCCUCCGAAAGGCCAGAAGCUCCACAUAUCUUGCAAGAACAAGAGCAAAAUGGGAAAGGUAAGUGGACAAAGAUAUCGCAUAUAGGCACUUCUAUUUAUAAUAAGAGGAUAUCUUUUCUCAUCUGAUCCAUCAUUUUUGAUCUACCAAGUAACUGGUAACCAAUUCUCAUUUGAUAUAUUGACAGAGUUCAUUUGGAAAGGUAACCAUCCAGAUUGAUCGUGUAGUAAUGCUGGGAGCAGUUGCCGGCGAGUACACUCUGUUGCCAGAAAGCAAAAGCGGGCCGUCACGGAAUUUAGAAAUAGAGUUCCAGUGGUCUAACAAGUAACAACAAAACCCACAUUGAGUUUUUGUUAUAAUUCUUGUGCGAAUGAAUUAUUAGGGGAAACAUGUUCAAAAAGAUAAUUAUUUUUUUCUUUUCUUUUUAAUUUUCAGUCUGGAUUAUUUAUCAUGUGAAUGUACAUAAUAUCCCAAAGAUUUUGAUUUUUUUUGUCAAAAGUCCUUUGAGUAGUCAUUUGUGAAUGUAUUCUUUUAUAACUUGUGGGAAACAUGUAACUUUCUUGUUUGCUUGUCAAUGUUAGUGGAAAUAAUGAAAGUUGAAUUUUAAUAUUUUUUUUUUAUGGUUAAAUGCUAAAUUUUGCUUAUAUGGUUUAUAUGGCUUAUACUUAGUUUUAUUUAUUUUCUCAUGCUUAUUUUUUCUUUGACAACCAUGUUGAAGUUGUCACGCCCUUAAAUUCAUGGCGAAUAUUUAAUGAAAUAUGACACUUGGUACUUGUGACACAAGUUUAAGAUACAAACACACGAAGGGAGUUACUUGAAAUAUUUUAAAGUAAACUUUUAUUCAAAAUAGGGUGAGCAAAGAUGAGUUUUACAUAAAUAUUACAAUACAAAAACAUGAAGACGGAGUACAAGGGGAACUAUGUUUAUUCCGUAAUAAGUUAAUAAAGUAGAAAGCGUCAUUCUUGUUAUAAACAUUGUAUUCAAAUGUGAAUGUGUAAAUCUUAGAUUAUAUUUGAUACUAGUUAUUCUUUCCUAUUAGGACUUGUAUUCCUUGGAGAAGAAGGAUUAUUCCCUCCCCUAUUACUAUAAAUAAAGGCAAUGCGUAGGAGGAAUAACAUAUCAUCUGCAUAACCCUACAAACACAUCUCUCCCUACCGUGCCCCUUCUCUCCUAUGUCAGAUUAAAAUAAGUCACAACACGUUAUCAUCACGCUCCUACCGCUGCACUUAGGAAUCUGACGUGAAAGUUUUCUGCUUAAACCAGUUCAUCAAUAUCAUCACAAAAUCAGGUUCUUCCAAAACAACGAUUUUUAUCUCGAUAUUUUUGCAGCCCUGAUAGCAUGAACAUUCACCAUAAUGCAUGACCCAACUCUACGUUUUUCGAAUUUUAGAUUCUACAUAAAUUGUAUAUGCAUUAUAUCCAUAAUUGUCGAAUUAUGUGAAUUGAUAUUGCCAUGAAUUAUGUCAUAUAUCUGUUCAUGCAUUGAAUUUUAUGUUGAAUAUGCAUGAAAUUCAAUUGAAUUAUAAUAUGGAAAUCAAGAAAAAAAAAAUUAUAAUCUACGGCUUCAGAAAUACCCAACCCUCGAGUAGCGGCUCAAAGCCGCACUUCCAUGUUGAGAGACCAAACCGGAGCCAUGGGCUCCAUGUUCCAAACCUAGAAACCUAACGCCUUCCAUGGGGUCCCCAUCGUCGCAAAUUGGCCUACAACCAAUCUUUGCCCACAACCAAUCUUUGCCCACGAGUUUAAGAUACAAACACACAAAGGGAGUCACUUGAUCGAGAUUCUUUCGAAUCUCAUCGAAUUUUUCGAAAUGCCGAUUUAAAUUUCUAGGGUUUUUGGUUGAAACAUUGAGAUUUCCUUAUCUUCGUUUGUCUUUAUGGUUGCUAACGACCCACGAGGGUAUCCCGAGUCUUCCCCACCCAAGAUUUGGCCACCUACAGUGGUAGCAACGGUCAUCUUCCCCAGCAAUAACACCUAGCUUUGUUAGAAUUUUUUGGUUUAAGUCUGACCCUAAUUUAUUGGGCCUGACCUUGACUAUGGUCGAAAAAAAAAAGUUUUUCUUUUUCUCCGGGCUCACUAUUGCAAGCCCAACCCUGACCCUGGCACCGCAGUAGAAUCCAGUCCCUAUUGGGCUCUCAAUGUUCCCUGCACCACGUUGCACCCAAUCCUGGCCAGCAGCUGGUGACUCAGUGCACUUGCACCAUGACGCACUGGAUCGCGUUCUUAGGAUCACUUGCCCUGUGAAGCAGCAAAUCUAUGCCCUUAACGAACCCUUUUGGAUCUUGCCCAACAAUUUGGGCUUGCUUCUACAGCCUAGAAAAGCUUGUAGCCUUUUCUGUUGGCUCGACCUAUCUUAUACCCAGCCCAAUUUUUGGGCUGGGCCGCACGAUCAUAACUACUCAGCCCACCCAUGGGCUUUUUGGGCCCCAAGUUUAAUUGCCUAUUUUUUAGGUUUAUAAUUUUUCUCCCAUAUUUUAAUUUUGGCUCGAAGUCCAAAUAAUUAAUUCAAUUACAAUUCUAGACCCCGAAGAUCUAUUUGCAUAUUUUCUUGUUGCAUAUUUUUGUAUAUAUAUUUGUAUUUGUUUGUAAGAACAUAUGAACCUGAAGUUCAUAAUUUUUUCAAACCCAAAGUUUCUAGAAACAUGCCUUAUUUGAAAACCUGAAGUUAUCCUUAAAACAUCACCUAAGAAAACCCGAAGUUUUUCUCAUGUAACUUUAAACCAAUAAAUGUCUAUUAGAACCUGAAUGUUCUACUCCUAUGUGAAAGGAUUGAUUUUUCUCCAUUACACUAACCACAUUCUUGUGUAUUUAUUUUGUGAUAGGGACAUGUCAAAUUUGAACAAACUCGACUUCACCACUUUAGAGGUCUCCAGAAGAAACUACCUCAAUUGGGUCCAAGAUAUGAAGGUCCACCUCACUGCAAAGAAUUUGUGUCUCGCCAUUGAAGAUGAGACGGACAACCCGAAUGGCGAAGCUAGGAAAGCUACUACAAUGAUCGUCAUUCGAAGGCACAUUCAUGAUGCACUACAAACCAAGUACCUUGCUGAGGAAGAUCCACGAGCACUUUGGGUCACUUUGGCUAAUCGUUUCAAUCACCAAAAGGACAUCUUUUUGCCUGAAGCAAGACAUGACUGGCAGCAUUUGCGCUUCCAAGAUUUUAAGUAUGUGAAUGAAUAUAAUUAUGAAGUUUGUCGAGUCUGAUCAUUUCUCAAGUUCUGUAACGAGAACUUGACCGAAUAGGAUCUCCUGGAGAAGACCUAUUCGACCUUCUCUGCCACCAAUAUUGUAUUGCAGCAACAAUAUAGGGCUUAGAAGUUCACUAAGUUUUCGGAUUUGAUCUCUGUUUUACUUCUUGCUGAAAAGCAUAAUCAGUUGUUGAUGAAGAAUCAUCAAGCUUGACCUACUGGGGUGAUUGUUGUGCUUAAAGCACACUAUAGCACUAACCAACGCCCAAAACACCAACAUAGGCAUGGUAGGGGCAGCCAGAAGCCACCCGUUAAGGUCAACAGAGCCAAGGCCCAUCUAAGGGAGGAAACUGAGCCUAGAAGUGUUCUAACUUCGCUCCCAAGGCCCUGAACUUCAAGAAUAAGGGCAAAGCACUUGAUACCAUGGAUGUAGACAUAUGCUACUGCUGUGGUUCAAAGGACCAUUGGUCUCGUGUUUGCCGUGCUUCCUCAAAGGUUGUAGCUGAAUAUCAUUCUUGUCGUAAGAAGCUUGAAUCAAACUUUGUGCAAGUGGAUGAACCGGAGAGUACCAAGAUGGAUGUUUCUAACUUUCAAGAGGCCAUUACCCUAUAGAAGAUUAGAAUCUCAGACAUAAACUACUUUUAGUAGAAUUUUAGACCUCUAGGGCCGAAUUCCACUAAGUGGCCGAACCCUCCUUGUUUUUUGGUUUAAGUUUGAACAAUUUUCCUUAAUAUUUGGAUUAUUUGUUGAUAAUUUGUUUUUAGAUAUUAAGUUUUUUUUAAUAACCAUCCUUGAAUACUUAAAUUAUUUUGAAUGGAUAUUAUUUAUGUGCAUAAGUUCCUACGAAUAUGGCCAAAAGUGUAUUCUAGAGAAGAUGGGGUGUAUCCCUAGUGGUCUGUAUACUACAACCAUACACCCUAAGAAAGCCACUAUGUGGCCAGCCUUACCUCAGGGACCACACACGAAAUUACACUUUGGCAUGAUCGUUUGGAACAACCUGGAUGAACAACGAUGCGUUGUAUCCUCAAAUCUUUACACAUGCAUCCAUUAACCCGAACUUUAGGUUUGAUUUAAGGAAUCAUAUGUUAAACCUGCUUUAUGAGAAAACUUAUUAUUAAGCAUUCUUAUGACAAGAUUCGCUCAAAUCCUUUUACUUUUUCUACAAAGGAUUCAGGGGGACAUUUGUGGACAGAUUCACCUUCUUUGCAGACCAUUUAGAUUUUUUAUGUUUUUGUUUGAUGCUUCCACACUUUGGUCACACAUGUGCUUGUUGUCCACAACUGUUGGCUCAAGUUAUCCAGCUCAGGGCUCACCACCCUGAUUAUCCGAUCAAAUCUAUUCGAUUGCAUUCUCUAAACUUUUGAUGACUAUUGCAUGUCGGUUAAGGUUGAAGUUAAACAUCAUGUACCCCAUGUUCACACCUAAAAUGGCCUGGUAGAGGCAUUCAUUAAGCUCUUAUAAAUGAUUGCUCGAUCGUUGGUCAUACGUACCAAGCUCCUAAUCGCUAUUUGGGGCUAUGCAAUAUUACAUGCAGCCAUGUUGGUUCGCCUGAGGCUUAUUGCGACCCAACCAUAUAGUGCACUUCAGUUAGUUACUGGAUAUGACCCCGACAUAUCACAUCUACCCAUUUUUGGUUGUGCGGUCUAUGUGCCGAUUUCGUUGCCCUCACGUAUAAAAAUGGGGCCUCAGCAAAUGACGGGAAUCUAUGUCGGAUAUGAUUCUCCUUCAAUUAUUCGUUACAUAGAACCUUUGACAGGCGAUCUUUAUACCACUCAUUUCGUGGAUAGUCACUUCUAGGAGAUAGUCUUCCCAUCGUUAGGGGGACAUAAAAACAUCACUGCUCCUGAAGAAUGACGCGAAUUAUAGUGGACUACUCCCACUUUGUCUUAUUUAAAUCCCUGCAGUGCUCGGUCUAAAACUAAUGUGCAGUGCAUAUUAGAUCUUUAGAGUGUAGCUCAGAGCAUGCCAGAUGCUUUCACGGAUCUAGCACAAGUGACAAGAUCACAUAUUCCAGCUGCAAAUGUGCCUGCAAAGAUGGAUGUACCAAAUGUAUGAUAGACUUCCCUCCUGGAGUCCCGGGACACCACCAUGUUCGAUCCACAUACAUUAACGGCUAGCCAAUCCUCUACCCCUACACAAAAACAUGGCAAACCUCUUGGUUCAAUGAUUCACACCCCAAGAAAAAGAAACCCACAUCACAUGUUGUUGAGCCUACAGUGAAUUCGACUAUUGCCUACUCAUUCUAUCUAACUCAUGAGGAAAAUCUAGAUUAUGAAUGCGUCUUUGAAUAGACGAAUCCACUUCCCAAGAAUCGUGAGAUUUUGGUCCAUUAUGCUAGCUUGGAUGAUGUUUGGUGUAAAAAUAAGAUGAUCAUCAACGAUGUAUUAACAUAUGCAGUAGCUACUAAGAUCAUGUUGAGUGAUAACAUUGAACCUCGUUUUGUUGAUGAAUGUCGACGUAGAACUGAUUGGUCAAAUUGGAAAUAAGCAAUCCAAGUCGAACUCGAUUCACUUGCGAAACGUAAGGUGUUUGGACCUGUAAUUCCUACUCCUCCACAUGUGAAACUCGUUGGCUACAAGUGGGUUUUCGUUCAGAAAUGUAAUGAGAAGAACAAAAUUGUGCGUUACAAAGAUCAUCUUGUUGCGCAAGGUUUAACUCAACACCCCAAGAUUGACUAUGAUGAAACUUAUUCACCCGUUAUGGAUGUGAUUACUUUUUGCUACUUUAUCAAGUUGGUAGUUUUCGAAAAACUGAGUAUGCAACUGAUGGACAUAGUAACUGCGUAUCUCUAUGGGGAUCUUGAUACAAAAAUUUAUAUGAAAGUUCCCGAAGAACUUGCUUUGACUGGAUCAAAUAUUUCCAAACCCAAAACACGUUUUCAAUUUGGCUGAGGAGUUCGCUAUAAGGUUUGAAGCAAUCUGGAAGAAUGUGGUAUAACCGUUUGAAUGAGUAUUUGACUAGUCAGGGAUAUGUGAACAAUGAACUAUGCCCUUGGGUGUUCAUUAAGAAGUCACAUUUUGGUUUUACGAUUGUUGCAGUUUAUGUCGCCAACAUGAACCUCAUCGGAACUCCAGAAGAGCUUGAGAGAACUACUGUGCACCUGAAGUUAGAAUUUGAGAUGAGAGAUCUAGGAAAGACUCGAUAUUGUCUCGGUUUCGAGAUUGAGCAUUGUUCGGAUGGAAUCUUAGUACAUCAAUCGAACUACACCCAGAAGGUGUUGUGUUGCGUCGCUUUAAAAAAGGUAAAGUGAAGCAUUCGAGUACUCAUAUGGUCAUUCGAUCGCUUGAUGCAAAACGAGAUCCCUUCUAUUCGAAUAAGGAUGAUGAAGAGAUUUUGGAACAUAAAGUUCCUUAUCUAAGUGCGAUAGCGCUUUAUUGUACUUAGCUCAAUGCAUUAGACCCAACAUCUUUUUCGCUAUUAAUCUUUUGGCAGGAUAUAAUAAUGCACCAACACGCAAACACUGGACUGGUGCUAAAUACAUCUUCCAUUACUUUAAGGGAACUAUGGAUAUGGUUUUGUUCUAUCCCUAUGGAUCCUCGAGUGAUGCUGCACCCCCUAUCUCGAAUUGAUUCCCUUCUUGUUGGUUAUGCUGACGAUGGUUACUUAUCUGACCUGUACAAGGCCUGUUCUCAAACAGGUUACGUCUUUACUAUUGAUGGCACUGUAAUAUCAUUGAUGUCAACUAAACAGACCUUAGUUGCCACUUCGUCUAACCAUGAUAAAAUACUCGCCUUACACAAAGCUACUCGGGAAUGCUUCUGGCUGAGAGCAGUUAUGGCCAUAUUCGAAGCUCUUGCGAUCUUUACCCUAUCGUUGACGUCCUAACAAUGAUCUAUGAAGAUAAUGUAGCAUGCAUUGAACAACUCAAGAAGGGUUACAUCAAAGGAAACAACACUAAGUACAUUGCGCCGAAGUUUUUUUUCUCACAUCAACAGCAAAAGUAUCAGAAGAUUGAAUUCACGCAAAAUCUGUUCACAAGACAACUUGGUGGACCUUUUCAUCAAAUCACUACCGAAGGUGAUGUUUCAGAAGCUUGUUCAUGGAAUAGGUAUGCUUAAACUUUCUAAGCUGUAACAUUGUUAGUUCUCUUUGGAAUUAUGUCAAACUCAGGGGGAGUAUCCUGAAGUAUACUUACUUGAUCUUAAUGUACUAUUUUUCCCUAUGAUUAGGAGCAUUUUUUCCACUAGGUUUUUGCUACCUAACGAGGUUUUGAUGAGGCACCCACCUUGGGUUGAUCAUAUCCCUGCUGACGUCCCGUAGAUGUUUCUUUUGACUUUGCAUUACUCACGCAUUUUUCCUUAGACUAUGGGUUUUGUCCCUACUCGGGGUUUUACCAUAGCCAUUGGGUUUUUUAUGAGACUUAGUUCUAUAUGCAAGUUCCUACUUUACUUUGAGACUAGCGUGUUCCUAGAAUCAGUGUCGACGAGUUGACUGCCUCAACUCUACAUGAUGCCGAAUCUACUUGAGUAUUUACACACUCAAGGGGAAGUAUUAUAAACAUUGCAUUAAAUUGCGACAAUGUAAAUCCUAGAUUAGAUUUGAUACUAGUUAUUCUUCUCUAUUAGGACUUGUAGUCCUUGGAGGAGAAGGAUUAUUCCCUCUUUUAUUAUUAUAAAUAAAGGCACUAUGUAGGGGUAUAACACAUCUUCUACAUAACCCUAUAGACACAUCUCUAUCUCUCUGUCGUGGCCCCUCACUCCCUUGUUAGAUUAAAAUAAGCUACAACAAUUUCCUUAUUUUAUUUCAUAGUCCUUCCCUUCCUUUUGAUUUUACUUGUUUCCUGAAAAAGACAAAGGUGUAGCAUCAUGAGUUACACAAACCCAGUAAGUACAACAAAACUAACAUAUACAACUAUGCGUCAAUCAAUGAGCCAUCAUUUGUUAUAACAAAUAAGAUAUCAUCUAGUAUACAAUUAUAUAUCUUAACUCGUCUUCUUAGCAUCACUAUAGUCUGGUAAGUUCACACACAAAACAUGUAGGCCACAACAUGCUAAGGUUAAACUUUCAUAAUUUUGAAGCUCAUGUAUACUCAAGGGUUGGAUUACCCACAAGUAUAAUAGUGCUCUAUUGAGGAAGAAGAUGAGUGAUAUGGGAGAAAGAGAUUGCUAGCUAUUUUCUCCCAUAUGGUUGGCCUCCUAGAGUGAGAAGAGAGAGUUAUGUUCUCUCAUCUUUCCUCAUAGAAAAAACCCUUAGUGAGGGAAAUGGUGAUAAGGUUCCUUAUAAAGGCUUACCCAUAUGAAACCCUCUCCCUUUCUCUCUUAUGGUUGGCCUCCAUAAAGCCUUUAGGUUUUUGGGCUUCUUGUGUUUUAGCUAUUAAGUUUGUCAUACAACUUAAGUUAUGGGCUUGACUGUUCAAAGCUCAUUAGGCCCUGAGGCCUAAUGUGUUUUAAGUUGUCACACUUAAGUUAAUGAGCUUGACUAUUCAAACUCAUUGGGCUUUGAAGACCAACACUAGCUCAAGGUCUAAAAAGAACUUAUUCGUUUGAUUAAUUAACAUAUUAAUCAACUCUUUAAUUGCUCACACUCAACUCCGUUAUAUUCUUUAAUCAUUACCUUACACGGUGUGUGAUCCAUUACAUUCUAGUUAGCGAGGCAAUGGGCGAAUCAAUUGUGAAUUGAAACUUGCUUUCAAUUCGCCCUUAGUGACUGUUAAUCAUCAAGGCUUCUACAAACCAUGGGUGACACCUAGCAGCAUAUCAUGGCUACCCAAGCUAAGCAGAAAAGGUUGAAGAACCUAUUUAGUUUGGGAUUACAAUGCAAUACGGUCUAAAUUAAUACUUAAUCACAUUGUUUGGUAAUGGUUUAUUCAUGUCUACUGUCCAAUGUGAUUCUCUUGUCUAUAUCAUUACCUUGAAAGCGAUUUGGAAAGUACUUCCUAAAUCAUAUUCAUACUCUGGUCAUAUAUUCUUAAUUAUAUUAUAGAGUAUUCUCGGUUAGAAAUCCCUUGUUAAGCAUUCACAUGCCCACAUGAUUAAGUAGCUUAACCUCAAUUAUGUCGGGGACACCCUCUAAUGGAAUGCCUUUAACAUAGUCAAAGAUUAAGGACCUAACCACAUGACAAGUAUGAUGGCUCAGGCUAAAGGACCACUUUGCAUUAUCCCAACUAGUGAGUUCUCAUAUGACAUGAGUAUGAGAACUCCUGUUUGGUCACGUUCAGUGGACUCACUCUCUAUUGAGCACUUACAUACUUGUCUUGGUGUCAUUCACACUAAUGACUCGAGACUAGUCGCUUUCUGGGAGGACAUAGUAUAUGCAGAUCUAUCUGAAUUGUCAACACUCAAUUGGCAAUCCUAUGAUCAAGAACAUGUAGGAUAUAUCCAUGAAAGAGAAAGGUCUCAUGAAUAUAAUUUUUUAGAUUACAUUCUCUUAAUUACAUAUUCCUCGGACUUAUCAUUUAAGUGUAUAACAGUUAAUGAGAUAGCUUUAUACAAUAAUCGUUGCCGUUACAUUAAACUAGAUUAGUUUAAUAUGUGAAAUGUUUGUAAAGCACAUUUCCAACAAUCUCCCACUUGCACUAGAGCUAACCAACUGUGUGUUCAGUUAUGAUACAUUUUCAGAUGUCAUUCCAAAGGUUACAACUAUUUCUUCUCUUUGUUCUUCAAUAUUACCUAUAAUGCAUCAAAGAUUAAACAUAUGCUUCUUGAAGGAGAUUUGCAUGACUAUAGUUUUGAUUUUUAUGCUUCCGUUGCUUAUGUAUUUAAAUUUUGAAUUGUAUAUGUAUGCUAGUCAUUAGAAAUCUCACCUAAAUCUCUAGUUUUCCCUUUCAAAUGGUACCAUGAGCCAAAGGUUUAUACGUUGAUGUGUCUUUUGGAUUUUAUGCAGAUGGGUUAUAAUUCUAUGUAUAACAUAUUAUUUCUUCAUUUUAGAUACGUACUGAAUGUGUUCAAGUUGAAAAAGAUAUGCCUACAAAAGUGAUUUGAUACUUGAAUGAAGAGUGAGAUUUUGAACAAAUUUUGGUGCUUAUUUUCUAAGGUUCGGCCAUGUUGGGGUUAGGGUAGGUGUUUGUGUUUUGUUUUUGUUGACACACACACAUUUAUGCUUCAAACCCUAGACCUUGUCACCUUUGUUUUUGGCUUGAAAACCCACCAAGAAAGUUCCAAUCUUGAAAUUGUUUUCAUGGUUGUGUUAUUGGUGUUCAUGUUGUUCUUUAUUUAUUUUUUAAUUUGAGUGUGGAUCUUUGUUUAAGUUUAUUAAACUUGUUUUAGUGUUUCCCAAGAGGAUCUUGGUAAAUAUUUUGUCCUUUUGAUUAGAACAACACAAAAUGUGUAAUUUUAAUUAGUUGUCCUUUUUUCUAUGGCUCCUUAUUAUAAAGAGAGGAGUUUCGCUUUCAUCAAAACAAAACAAAAAAUUGACAGACCCACAACAAUAUAUACAUUUAUUAACAUUCAUCAUUAAAUUGUCAAAUAUGCAACAAAAAAAUAAAUAAAAAUAUCAUAUCUAAUCACAUCUUACCGUUAAAAGAUAAAUGUAUUAAGUAAAUGCUAACUAAGUCCCAAAGGACUUGAAUUGUAAAUGUAUAAUUUUUUUUACAACAAAACAAGCAAAAAUUAUAGUAUAUGUUGAUUAGGACUGGUUCAGAUCGGGAUCCUGAGUCGAAAUCAAUUCCAAAAACUGAAUCGAAAAAUUUCAGGACAGGAAUUUCAAAGCCAUAAACCUAACCAAAAUUUCGGGAUUCCGGUAAUAAUUCAAUUUUUUUUGUUCGGAUCGGGAGAGGGCAUUCAUGCCCAAUUUGUUGGGCUUUUUCAUUUGAUUUGGGAUUUGGAAACCCUAAUCCUUAGUUUCAAAACCCUAAUCCCCAAUUUCAAAAUCCAAAUCGAAUUCAAAAUUUCAUUUAAAAAAGCUUUAAUUCCAAAAUCACAAUCCCUCUUUAAUACAAAACAAAAACCGUAAUCCCCAAUUUCAGCAGCCUUAAUCCCAUUUUCGAAUUCAAACCAAAGUUGGCAAAUGAAAUUAUGAAAUGAUUUAGAAAGGAAGGUCCCAGUUUCUUACCUUCAUGCUUAUGCAGUGUAGAGCAAAUCAACAGAGGAGUCUCGAGCAAGAGAGAGAGGAAGAGACUAAGAGACAAGAGUCGAGACUGACAAAUGACUAAGGAAUCUCGAGAGAGAUCGAAGACAGUGUGGUGUGGUGUGUGUGGGUCAUGUGUGUGGAUUGGCCGAAUUCGAAGACGGACAGAGAAUAGGGAGGAGGAGACUCAUAGAGGGACCUG
rnacentral:lncRNA from 1 species